GCUGACGAUAAUAGCUUGGAGGUCCCACCUGAUCCCUUCCCGAACUCAGAAGUGAAACUCCAAUGCGCCAAUGGUAGUGUGGUUCGCCCAUGUG
rnacentral:rRNA from 1 species